rnacentral:rRNA from 1 species
UAGUGGCGAACGGGUGAGUAACACGUGGGCAAUCUGCCCUUCACUCUGGGACAAGCCCUGGAAACGGGGUCUAAUACCGGAUAUGAGCCUGGGAGGCAUCUCCUGGGUUGUAAAGCUCCGGCGGUGAAGGAUGAGCCCGCGGCCUAUCAGCUUGUUGGUGAGGUAAUGGCUCACCAAGGCGACGACGGGUAGCCGGCCUGAGAGGGCGACCGGCCACACUGGGACUGAGACACGGCCCAGACUCCUACGGGAGGCAGCAGUGGGGAAUAUUGCACAAUGGGCGAAAGCCUGAUGCAGCGACGCCGCGUGAGGGAUGACGGCCUUCGGGUUGUAAACCUCUUUCAGCAGGGAAGAAGCGAGAGUGACGGUACCUGCAGAAGAAGCGCCGGCUAACUACGUGCCAGCAGCCGCGGUAAUACGUAGGGCGCAAGCGUUGUCCGGAAUUAUUGGGCGUAAAGAGCUCGUAGGCGGCUUGUCGCGUCGAUUGUGAAAGCCCGGGGCUUAACUCCGGGUCUGCAGUCGAUACGGGCUAGCUAGAGUGUGG